AACGAACGCUGGCGGCAGGCCUGACACAUGCAAGUCGAGCGCCCGGAUUUAUCCGGGAGCGGCGCACGGGUGAGUAACGCGUGGGAACAUGCCCUGAAGUACGGAACAACCUGGGGAAACCUUGGCUAAUACCGUAUACGCCCUGAGGGGGAAAGAUUUAUCACUUUGGGAUUGGCCCGCGUUGGAUUAGCUGGUUGGUGUGGUAACGGCGCACCAAGGCGACGAUCCAUAACUGGUCUGAGAGGAUGACCAGUCACACUGGGACUGAGACACGGCCCAGACUCCUACGGGAGGCAGCAGUGGGGAAUAUUGGACAAUGGGCGAAAGCCUGAUCCAGCCAUGCCGCGUGAGUGAAGAAGGCCUUCGGGUUGUAAAGCUCUUUCAGCGGGGACGAUGAUGACGGUACCCGCAGAAGAAGCCCCGGCUAACUUCGUGCCAGCCGCCGCGGUAA
rnacentral:rRNA from 1 species